GACCAAUCAGCGCGUUCUGCUGCUUUAUGAAUUGCUCUCUCUGAGGCUUCAGCUGCGGAUGACUGUGUGUAUCAACUGCCUGGCGGAGGAAGAGGAGAAAAGCGUGGAAACUAUAAGGCAUUGACCACACACACAGAGUUUCAAACACUGGUGAAGAGGAUUAAGCAGUAGGGUUACAAGAGUUAUCCUGAAUGGCCCAUAUAGGGAAGGAGAAUGUGCCAGAAAACAUCCUGCUUCCAAGGACUUCUGCAGAUCCGGGGCGGAAGGAGAGCACUUUGCUUACAGCGGGUGCCUUGAGCAGCAGUAAGAUUCCAGUGCUGUCCAGAAGAAGGCUUCUUCCAGAGCUGAAGCAAUCUCAGCAGCCACAGAAUCGGUUCCAGCAAGGUUGCCAGCCGAAAAAGACCGACAUUCAUGCAGGUUCAGCACCUGGUUUGGAACUCAGAGUGGGAUUGCAGCCCAAGAACAAUGCCAGAGAGCCCUUGGGGGAGGUGCAGCUAAGCGCAUCCGGUCAUAGGAGCGUCAGCGCUGUGCCUGAUGGCAAAGAGUCAAGCACUGAUGAUUUUGUGCCUGACUUUGCUGCCCUUGCCAGCAUCCUGUCCAACACAGGGCUAACAAAUCACAUGGUGAGUGCCAGCCACAAGCCCAGUCUGGCUCAGCGUAUCCCUCUGAAAGGAAAUAGAGCGUUCUCUGUAAGCACUGGGGUGAGACAAGGUUCUCAAUACAUGGGAGCUUCUGAGACAAAUCUCACUCGAACGUCCCACAUCUCCAGGCCAACUUCAAAAGAUUCAAAUCACCCACAAUCUUGUAGCUUGGUCCUGAAUACUCAGCAACUUAAGAUGCUGUCGAUGUCACUUGAGGAUCCACUGGAGAACUUGAAACCUGGGGUGAAGGGAUCAAAACCUAGCCAGCUAACAAAGAACCUAGAAGGAGGCACAUGCAAAGAUUUAGCUGCCAAAGCUAACGGACUGAGUGGCAUUGCUAAGGGUAGACUUCCUGUGCAGAGCAGCUUGGCUGGAAGGAAGGAGACCAUAGGAACACCAAGCCAAGUGGGCGAGUUUGUGGCAAACCCAGCUGCGAAAGCUAGCAUUCUGUUGAACAUAGGCCUCAGCCAUUCAGCUCCUAGGGCCAAUGGUAAGCUGAGUUUGGCCCAGCGUGUGCCAGUGAAAGAGGGGCAGAGGACACCCGGCACCUCCAGAAACACAACGGGUGAAAAUGUUUGUUUACAGGGACCCUGUAUGGGUGCACCUCAGUCAGAAAAGUUUGGUCGUGUAUCCUGUCAUUCUACCCAAGGUCUUAGAGGCCUGGCAAAGUCGGAAGCUUCAGGAGCCCAGCUGACCACCACGCCUGGCAGCAGGUGUCCUGCUGUUGACUGUUCUCCCUAUGGACUAGCCAGGAGAGUUCCUCUUGCCUGUCCACAGUCUUUGUGUCGCACCCCUUGGACCUGUAAUCGCAUGCUUCCUCGUUCCUGCACAAAGAACAAGAAGGUGAAUGGUUUAGGUGGGAUUACUCCACAAAAGGACACAACUGAAUCCAAACAAGAUGGCACCAAUACACCCUGGAAGAGUAUUGCUGUGUGCCUCUUUGAAGAUGAAAUGGCUUCGUCACAGAAAGCUUCGUCAAAGGAAGCAUCCACACUUCCUGCGAUCCGUCCAGAAAUGGGAAAACUCCAGCGUAUUGAACUCCUUUCCCAACUCCUGAGGGAUGAGGUGAACAACGGCAUUGAUGACGACAUUUCUCCCUCACUGGCGGAACUGCACAAACUGUUGUUGGUCCAUCAUUCAGCUGUCCAAGAUACUUCUGAGGCUGGUCUCCACACUGCAUCUCCUCCAGAUCCUAGGUUAAAUGUCCACAGGGCAGCAUCAACAUCCACUGUCACUUCUGAAACUCCUCACACCACUACCAGCAGUCAGCCCCAUGACUGUCCCAGUCUCACCAGGUCUUCUGCCUGUCUCCCUUUAUCCAAUACAGUUAAUACAGACAAAGUCAAGCAGCGGUUGGAUGACCUCCUCAGCGCACGCCAUCGCUUCCAUGAGGCCUGCCUGAAUGAUGAGUGUGCCUUCUAUACUGCCCGCAUCCAUUCUCUCCCCCAGGCUUCAGGGCAGCGCUGCAAAGAGCCUGUGGCAAAAAUGCUGGAUGCUCAGGAGGCCAUGCACUUUAUACCCAUUUCUCCUCUGUCACUGCCCACAGAAGAUGUUUGCCCUAAUGAAGAUCUGAGCCUGGAUGCUCACGAUAGGACUGCAGAUGCUGAGACAGCAUGCUGAUGUUUUUCAUCACCUGAAGGCUUAUCUUCUAAACUGGGGGAGAUUCUAAAUCUUACCUUCUAAACCUUGGAAUAUUCAUCUCCAGCUGCUGCCUACUAGACUCAAUGGCUACCAGUAAAUGUCCCCGUGAUGCGGAAUCACAAUGGAUAUGGAACCAAGAUCCUUUCCCUAUUCCUUGUCUGAAAGCAUCUGUUGCUUGGUGGAAGCAGGUGCCUGGUGACUUGGGCCGUAAGGUUUCACAUUUUGCACUGAACUGGGAAAUGUUGCUACAGAAGACAACAUACUAACAUUGUACAUUAACUCCAUUUGAUCAGCAUUUUUUUAAACAAUAAUUAAACCACUGAAAACAAAAGACACCUCCUGUUACUUUGAAAUGGUUAUCUGCUGGAUGUCUGUCUUUCCAAUCAGUAGGCUCAGUUUCUUUGGCUUUUGUUUUAGGUUCUCUCUGUGUAAAUCGGUCUUCCUGUUUUGCUGGGAGGUCUUUUUUGCUGUUUCAUAUUGAGGGCUAGGGAAAGAUACAGGAAGUUGAAGCUAGGCACUGGCCCUGAUUUCACUUAAAUUAGCAUUGACUUCUAGUAAGGUUGGUUAGGAACGCUUUAUGGACUGGGCUUCAGUCAUAGAAGAGCCUGAACCCCCAUUAAAGGUUCUAGUCUUUGCAGUUUUAAAUGACGUUUUAAAUUUUAGUAAUACAAAAUCUCCAUUUUAAAGUUUUUUUAAUUGCCAAGUUCUCUUGGGAGACUUUUUUAGUGAUUAAAAUAAAAACGUUGGCUGAUCUGAAGCA
rnacentral:lncRNA from 1 species